GACGAACGCUGGCGGCGUGCUUAAUACAUGCAAGUCAACUUGACUUUAGAUAGCAAUAUCGAAAAGUAGGGUGGCGCACGGGUGCGUAACGCGUAGGUAAUCUGCCCUGAGGUCUGACAUAACCCGUCGAAAGGCGGCUAACAUCAGAUGAUAUAUAAUCACGACAUCGUGGAAAUAUCAAAUCUUCGGAGCCUUGGGAUGAGCCUGCGUCUGAUUAGGUAGUUGGCGGAGUAAUAGCCCACCAAGCCUACGAUCAGUAGCUGGUCUGAGAGGAUGAUCAGCCACACUGGAACUGAGACACGGUCCAGACUCCGU
rnacentral:rRNA from 1 species